rnacentral:rRNA from 1 species
GACAGAGGGUGCGAACGUUGCUCGGAAUCACUGGGCGUAAAGCGCGUGUAGGCGGUCCGGUAAGUCCGCUGUGAAAGUCGGGGGCUCAACCCUCGGAUGCCGGUGGAUACUGUCGGGCUUGAGUACGGAAGAGGCGAGUGGAAUUCCUGGUGUAGCGGUGAAAUGCGCAGAUAUCAGGAGGAACACCAAUUGCGAAGGCAGCUCGCUGGGACGUUACUGACGCUGAGACGCGAAAGCGUGGGGAGCAAACAGG